rnacentral:rRNA from 1 species
GGAUUAGAUACCCGGGUAGUCCACGCCCUAAACGAUGUCAACUGGUUGUCGGGCCUUCAUUGGCUUGGUAACGAAGCUAACGCGUGAAGUUGACCGCCUGGGGAGUACGGUCGCAAGAUUAAAACUCAAAGGAAUUGACGGGGACCCGCACAAGCGGUGGAUGAUGUGGAUUAAUUCGAUGCAACGCGAAAAACCUUACCUACCCUUGACAUGUACGGAACCUUGGUGAGAGCUGAGGGUGCCCGAAAGGGAGCCGUAACACAGGUGCUGCAUGGCUGUCGUCAGCUCGUGUCGUGAGAUGUUGGGUUAAGUCCCGCAACGAGCGCAACCCUUGUCCCUAGUUGCUACGCAAGAGCACUCCAGGGAGACUGCCGGUGACAAACCGGAGGAAGGU